UGCAGACGCACAGUGAAGCGGAAACGUUUCACACACACAAGUCAGUAAUGAGAAAAGAGCAACUUCCUCUCACUGAGAAGGCAGGAACUGGAAAUUCAAGUAAUGAUGAAAUGGCAGUAAUCGCCUUCAGUCAAAUGGCAAAAACAUAGAAGAGCUCCUGUCCCUGUUCCAGGACUCUGCUGACGGCUCCGGGGGCUUCUCUGAGGAUGUCCCCCGGAGUGUGCACGUGGCCGUCUCCCUGCUGACCAGGCCCUGCAAACUCGAGCCUCCCGGCUUCCCUGGCCUUCAAGCCUCAUUUCUUCAACUCAGGCUGAGAGGUGCUGCCUGGAUUCUCUGCGACCUGGAACCUCAGAGCACGUGACCCGGGAUGUCCGCCACCCUGCCUCUCCUUGGGGCCAUGUUCCCACGUGCCAAGCUUCACGCAGAAAGGCCUGCAGAGGAAGGACAACACCGGGCCGGCCAAGACGGAAGACACGUUAAGGCUCGUGAUGGGGCAGCUGGGUUUUCACUGUUAGGCAAGGUCGCCCACGUGAUGAAACUGCACAGAGCCACGCACGCACACGCACGGGAGCGUUUAGGGCUGGCGAGAGCCCAAGAGGCCCUGUGGGCUGCCCCAGUGCCGAUUUCACGGCUGUGACGUUGUCGCCCAGCUGUAAGGACAUGGGGUCACAGCCAAGAAGCUAGGGGGUAGCUGGAAGAUCACCCCCGAGUCUCACGCCCAGAAGGACGUGGGAGUUUGUUCGGCCAGCAGACGGGAAGAGCAGAUUCAGAGCUGGCCAGCCUGGACCCCGCCUGCCGGGCCCUGGAGAGGAGCAGCGGGCGCCCUGCCCCUCAGGGCGCGCCUCGGGGCUCGCCCUCUGAGGGCUCUGGGCUCCCGGCAGACCCUCUUGGCUGCGUGCAGAGUGGCCCGCCCAGCCACCACACGCCUCCUCCUCCGUGCCACGCUCUCUCCCGGUGAGACCCACCCCCUGUGCCCCUCUGCCCCGGCUGUCCUGCCAGCACCCCACGGGCUGGGGCUCCAGCCCCAGGACCCCGUCUCCUCACGGCCCUGGGGGCUGUAGGCCCAGCUCAGGGUGCCGGCAGGGCUGGUUCCUGGCGAGGCUUCUGCCCGGCUUGCCGACGGCUGCCUCUCCCGGUGACCUCACGUGAUCUUCCCUCUGAGCUCCUGCAGGGAGAGAGGGCUCCAGGGUCCCCCUCUUCUUAUAGGGACACCAGUCUUGCUGGAGUGGGACCCCACGUAGGAUCUUGGGAGAUGCAGUGCAGAUCACAGCACACAACCCACUCCCGUGCUUUUGCUCACCCCAGACCAGCCUGUCUGCGCUCUCUGCCCCACCCCUGCCCCGGCAGCGAGACCCAGGCUGGCUUCCAGCGAUUUCCUGCCCCACCUGCCCCAGGCGACGUCUCCCAUUUUUUACCCUGGGCGCCCUGGGAGCUUCUAGGAUGUGAACUUUCUGCCUUGAUUCCUGAGAUCUGUGGGCUUGCGUUUGCUCCCUUCCUGGACUGGGAGAGGCCUGGAAGCAGCUUUACUACAUCUUUAACCACCACAGCACCCAACCCGGUUGCUCGAUAAGCAUUUACUGAAGUUUACUCCAGAGGGGGAACCACGCUAUCGCCGAGUACGUGUUCCCGAAAGGAAGAACGCAUUCUCAGUUCCUUAGCCAGUCCUGAGUAAACUUUCCCAGGACGCUCUGAGCUGGCAGAGCGGUGUUGGAAUAUGUGCUAAUUCAGGCUGAGUUUCCAGCGGCUCCUGUCACAAGUCACCACGAAGAUGCGGGCAUGCACAGCGUACGUCCAUCUCCUACAGUUCUGGAGGUCAGAAGUCCAAGCCCUGUCUCACUGGGCUGGAAUCAAGGUGCCAGCAGGCUGGCUCCUCCUGGAAGCUCCGGGGAAGAAUCUGUCCCUGGCCCGUCAGCCUGAGCAGGCUGCCCACAGUCCUUGGCCCCUGGCCGGUCCUCAGAGAGCUCCCACCUCUGCUCCCAGUGUCACACCUCCACUACUUAUUCUGACCCCCCUGCCUCCCCCUCCUGCAGGACAUUUCGAUCCCAGUGGCCCAUCCCUGUAACCCAGGACAAUCUCCCCUCUCAAGGUCCUUAAACUCAAUCUCAUCUCUGAAGUCUCUCCUGUAGCCAAAGGGGCCAUAGUCACAGGUGGGGCUGAGGGUCGUCAGGUGCCUCACCUGCCACGGGACUGGAGUCGUGUUAUGCCGAAGCAGGGCCGUCGCAGCGUCAGUUACAUCAGGGCAGGGCCUGCGCUCAGGUUUCCCUGCAGGCGGAGCAGAGCGCUGGCCAGAGCCAGGGACGCUGCACUGGGCUGCGAUGCGCCUCUACACCGUCCUUCAGCCCCAGUGUUCCCAGGCACAAGGUCGUGGGCACUGCUUCCUGUCACUCGGGGGCCCCUCCAGCCCCUCCCGCCCGUCAACCUGGGCUUUAAACCUCUUCUUCCCUCUUUUCCCUCCAAUGCACGUGCUGACCUCGAUGAUGGUUAAGUGGGCUUCACAGGAGAAGCAGUUUUUCCUCCCGGCAGCCUUAUGAGGGCCUCUCACUCCAAAUGCAAACGACUCAGGCUGGGUCUGAUUGCAGCGCGACUGUGUGUGUUCCCUGUCCUCCGGUUACUCACGCCAGCCAUGCUGCUCAGGGACGUGGUGCCGGCCUCUCGGGCUUGCUACUAGUCAGCAAAUGCUGGGGGGCCCCGGUGAGGACAGGACUCCCCGUGGUGAGGGCCGCAGAGGGUCCGGUGCCUGCUGUCCUCAGGCCCGUCAGCCUCCCGGCGGCCUGUCAAGCCUUCCAGCUCUGGUUACACACGGUGGCUUGCAAAGCGUCCGUUUGCAAAUGCGAUUGGCCCACAUCUCUUCUCAACACCCUUCAAAGCUCUCCUGGGGGAUCAUACUCUUCAGCAGGUGUUCAAGGCUCACCGCCACCCUGGCUUCCUGGCCUGCUGCUGUCUUACUCACCUCCGGGUUUCGUUCCGUGCCUGUGCGGCCACCACGCCGUCUCCGGCCUUCAUCCUUAGAUGGAUGUGCCUUUACCACUCAGCUUGGGUGUGGCCCCUCCAGGGAGCCUCCUCUGGCCCCAUGCCUGGAGCAUCCCCUCUCCACACUCACACACACUCGUGCACGUGCACGGGAGGCACCUGUCGGGAAUUAUCUCCAGAGGGGCCCCAUGAGGGCAGCGACCUGGUCCAAGUCCCCCACGGUGCUCAGCACCCCAUGGGAGAACAGGAUUAAAAUGAACUCAGGAGGCUGGUGUCCCGGCAGAAGACACCAGGCUGGCCCUUCCCUGUCCCUCUUACAGGAGCCCCAGUCCUCUGAUGCCUGUCACAGUGGCUCAUAGCCCCUGCAGCUUAUUAAAAAAAUCUUAGUAGUAGCUAAGCUCUUGAGCCGGCAAGUCUAGAACUUGAGAAACUGCCAGAAAAGGGCAAAUGCGAUGGAAGCUAAUGUUCAUUACUCACCAUCAGCAUUUGUUUUUCAGUCUAAUGGGUUCCUUGAUGAAUGGUGUUGUUAAACAUUUGGAAAAAAUAUAAAAACAAAUUAAUGCGAUGUUCUCUAGCUCCCCACAUCCCCGCCAAACUUCAUGUGUAACAUAAUACCCUCGUGGCGUCUGAGGAGGGUCUCUGCUCUUCGCCCACCCCCUCUGAGUCCUGGGGAGAAGUUCACAGCCUGGUCUGAGCCAGUAGUUCUGACGAAGCGCACACUGAUGUCACUGACCCCACGAAGAUGCGCACGGGACAGUCACCACCUCCUGCUGAAGGCUGAUGCGUAAUCCCAGAGAGCUGUUUUAUUUAUUUACUCAUUUCCUCUAGGCCCUGCCCUCAAAGGGCUUGGAAACUGAAGAAGUUUAAAAAAGAGACAGAGAGAAAUUUUCCUGCCUGAUUCUGGGCUCAGCUGAUGAACGAGGCAACCAGCAACGGAUCAAUAUUGCUUGUAAUAAGUGUUCGGCUGUAGCUACCACUUGCCGGCGCUAAAUGCUCUGUAAUUCAUCCCUCGUGGUACCUCGGUGAGGGAAUGACCAUAAUCCAUAUUUUACUGAUAUGGGAGUUGAAGCUCAUUCUAACCAACUUCCCCGAAUGCUAGUGGCAGAGCCACGCUUGACCUGGGUCUGGCCUGGACUUCACAGCCAUGCUCUUAGCCCCUGGGCUCUGACCGCCCCCAUCCACACGCCCUCUGCUUCACGUCCUAACGCCCCCGGCCGUCUGAUGCUAUCACCUCUCUAAUCACCCACCGUGCUUCUGCCAAGCAGCCAGCCCGUUGCCUCCCCCGCAGCUCACGCCUGCUCCGCUCGGAAGGACGGAAGGACGGAGCAGCCUCCCCAGGCGGGUUCAGAUCUGUGUGUUCUCCCUCCACCCGUUAGUACCGGUUCUGCCCCCAGGGCCUCCCAGAGCCACCUUCCACAGGCCAGCCUUUGGGAUGUCUGGAGGCAAUAUCCCAGCCCGGGGCUGUGCCAGGACAAGGGACCCAGCCCAGGGACUGUCACAGUGGCCAGCAUGGAAGCUGAAUUUGGAGAAGGGCUGGUCACCAGCGCAGGGUAGCUCCCAACAGCACUGCUUCUCCACGGAAGGCCUUUCAUGAACCGACACCCCAGUUCUGCACCUGUUUUCUUAAGUGGACAGAACUCAGGCCCAUCUCCCCAUGGGGUGAAGGUGGGCAGGGCUAUUCCCAUAAUUGCAUCCGGAGACACACUGCGGGUGCGGGGGACCCCGACGGGGCAGGGGGCUGCAGCACGGCUUCCACGGGACAGUCCCUGGGCUGUCCCCUCCGCCCCCAUGGCAGCAGAGCGGAAAUGCAGUGGCCGGACCUCGUGGGUGCCUCUCAGCCCCGCUCCCAUCGGGCAAGGCCUGGGUGCCCCCGGAUGUGACCGCGUGGCUCGGCGUUCCCUCCCCUUGUUCCUUUCUUCUGCUCCUGGGUUUUGUGGAGAAGAGUUUAAGAUGGGACAGCAAACAUUCUCUGCAAAAGGCCAAAAGUAAGUAUUUUAGGCUUUGCGGGCUGUAUAGUCUCUGUUACCACUACUCAGUUCCUCCCCUGCUGCCAGAAAGCGGCCAUGGCCGCAGGUGAUGGGUGAGCUGCUGGUCAACAAAACAUGACUUUAAGACACCAGAAUCUGAAUUUUAUAUAAUUCUAGUGUUCAAAAUACAAUUUUUUUCCAAAUAUUUAAAAAUUUGAAAGUCAUUCAUAGCUUGCCAGCCAUACAAAAACAGGCAGAAGUGCACAUUUGGUCCAUGGACCAGUUUUCAGACCCUCGGUCUAAGAAAGUUUACUGACCCUGAGUGUUAGCUGGGGUGGGACUCUGGCCUGUAUGGUUUCCCAGGGGAGUCUUGACCCCCAGGCUCCGAAUUUGGGCCACGUGGGGCAGGCAUCCUUGGUGGCCCGGUGGGAGAUGAUGCAUCUCUGGCUGUGCCAGGUCCCUGCCCCGCAGCUCCAGUCCCCUGCCCAGGCUGUGCCACGCCCGGAAGCAAUUGCCUCAUGACCUCCGUUUGCGUCUGAACUGUGCGGUGUCCCUCCUUAGAAGGCUUGGCCUGACCAGAGGAAUAGUUAACAGCUGCCUUGAGCUUUGACUCAUUACUUCUAGAAGAAAAAUGCCUGGACAUUAUUUUCCUAGGAAAGAAUUAUCACUAAGAGGAAAUGUGAGGAUUUAGGGACAAUAACAAUUUAACAGGAAACCAGGACUGAACCCGGAGCAGGGACGGGUCCCUGAGUCAGAUCAGCGGAAGGACACGAUCGGCUCUGCCGUGAGCUACAAAGCAGUCUUUUCUGAUCUUAGAUACAUCUCUUAAACUCGGUGUAAGUACCUUUUUGGGUGCAAUGAUGAGAGAGUUGUUUUAUAAAAACUAGAGCUACUUUUAAAUAUUGUUUUCAGUUGCUCACAGCAAGUUGUUUUCUUAAUCUGGAAGUGGGAGUUCUGAGUCCUGCUCAAUGUUCUUUCUUCCAAAGCCCUUGUUUGCCGCAGGGAAGGCCCCAUGCUCUGGCUCCCAUUUGCGUGCCCACUUGUCCGCCCAGGCUGCUCAGCGGGACUCUUCUCCCCACUCACGUGGUGCCCAGGAAAAGGGAGACAGCACGGGUAGGGAGAGCAGGGACCCCAGUCAAAAGGCAGAGGGUGUCCCUACAGCAGAUCACGGACACUCCAGCUGCACCCCGGGCCCCGUGGCUUGAAGGUGAGGGGUGGCUUAGGGCAGAUGCCGGUGCCAGGUCUUCUGCUCACGGAAAAAAUCCAGGGCACUUGGGCAACCAUGCCCGGGCCCACAGGCCUGAAGAAAGGAGACACGCUUCCAGGCCGUCAGCGAGGCGAUGACACAGCCGCACGCUGGCUCCCCCGUGAGAAUGUAUUGAUCCACAGACUACAGGCAGCAGGCAGGGGCCCCAGAACAUACCUCCACUCACAGCACAGAGUACGUCCAAACAACGGACUGCUAGAAAUAUUUUGUUGAUUAUUUAAUAGCCAUUUAAAAAGCAUGAAAGCAGAUAGACCAUAAUGAGCUAAAAUGAUCCGUUACUCAAACAAAUGUAGCUUCGCUGUAUGGUUCCCCCAAAUUCUACUUCUGGGUAUAUAUAUACCCAGGAGAAUGGAAAUCAGUUAAAUCAGAUAUUUGUGCAUAUGUGGUGUACAUACCAUGGAAUAUUAUUCAGCCUUAAAAAGGCAUGAAUUCUGACAUAGGCAACAACAUGGAUGAACUUUGAAGACAUUAUGCUAAUGAAAUAAGCCAGACAUCAAAAGGACAGAUAUUAUAUGAUUUCCCUAUGUGAGGUGCCAGGAAUAAUCAGAUUAACAGACGGAAAGGAUGGUGGUUACCAGGGGCUAGUGGGAGAGGGGAGUGGGGAUCUAGUGUUUCAUGGGUACAGGGUCUCAUUUUGGGAAAAUGAGUUUCUGGAGAUGAAUGGUGGGGAUGGAGGCACAGCAAGGUGAAUGCACUUAAUACCACUCAAAAAUGGAUGAAAUGAUACAUUUUACAUUAUGUAUAUUUUGCCACAAUAAAAAGUUUAUCCAUUAACAAAAGAAGUGAAAAACUUAUAGUCCAAAAACUACAAAACUUUUUUUUUCAUUGUUGGAAGAAAUUAUGGAAGACCUAAAUAAACUGGAAGGCAGCACACAUUUCCAUGGGUCAGAAGACUUAAUAUUGUCAAGAUGACAAGACAAAUUGGUGUCCCGGACGGAUCUACAGACUGAAUGCGAUCCCAUCAAACCCAGGUUAGCGUCUGUGCAGACACUGACGAGCUGAUUCUAAGAUGUUUUUGGAAAUUCAAAGCACCCAGGAUAGCCAAAACAUCUUUAAAAAGGAGGACAGAAUUGGAGGACUACUCACACUUCCCAAUUUCAAACUAACUGGAAAACUGUAAUAAUGAGGAAACUGGUGUGAUACCGGCCUACGGUCAGACAUAUAAAUCCACAGAAUAGAACUGAGAGUCCAGAAAGAAACCCUCACAUUUACAGUCUGUUGAUUUCCCACCGUGGUGCCAAGACAAUUCAGGGAGGAAUGAACAGCCUUUCAUCGCACAGGGCUGGACAACAACGGAAUAUCCACGUGUGAAAGGAAAAGAGUUGGUCGUCUAACUCACGCCAUAUCCCAAAAUUGACACAGGUUAAAGAUCAAGUGUAAGGGUGACACAAAACCGCCAUCCACUUCUGGUGGGAUCAGAAAACGGUGCAGACAUAUACACACGCGUGCGCACGCACACACACACACAUACUCAAGCACACACAUGUGUGCAAACACACACACAUGCAUGCACAGCCGAAGCCUGCAGUGCCUCCCCUGGCUGGGAAGAGUCACAGAAUCUCUGAUGUUUAUAAUGUGAUUGAACUCCCCCCUUUCAUUGGUGACCUUUGGUUAGGUUGAAUCAUUUCCUUUGGAAAUAAAAGAAA